rnacentral:rRNA from 1 species
GGAAUUUUCCGCAAUGGGCGAAAGCCUGACGGAGCAAUACCGCGUGAGGGAUGACGGCCUAUGGGUUGUAAACCUCUUUUUUCAGGGAGGAAUCAAUGACGUGUACCUGAAGAAUAAGCAUCGGCUAACUCCGUGCCAGCAGCCGCGGUAAGACGGAGGAUGCAAGUGUUAUCCGGAAUCACUGGGCGUAAAGCGUCUGUAGGUGGUUUAAUAAGUCAACUGUUAAAUCUUGAAGCUCAACUUCAAAAUCGCAGUCGAAACUAUUAGACUAGAGUAUAGUAGGGGUAAAGGGAAUUUCCAGUGGAGCGGUGAAAUGCGUAGAGAUUGGAAAGAACACCGAUGGCGAAGGCACUUUACUGGGCUAUUACUGACACUCAGAGACGAAAGCUAGGGUAGCAAAUGGGAUUAGAUACCCCAGUAGUC